CACGUAGGGGCCAAGCGUUGUCCGGAUGUAUUGGGCGUAAAGAGCUCGUAGGCGGUUCGACAAGUCGGGUGUGAAAACUCCGGGCUCAACCCGGAGACGCCACCCGAUACUGUCGUGACUGGAGUCCGGUAGGGGAGUGGGGAAUUCCUGGUGUAGCGGUGAAAUGCGCAGAUAUCAGGAGGAACACCGGUGGCGAAGGCGCCACUCUGGGCCGGUACUGACGCUGGGGAGCGAAAGCGUGGGUAGCAAACAGG
rnacentral:rRNA from 1 species